ensembl:snRNA U6 U6 spliceosomal RNA
GUGCUCACUUUGGUAGCACAUAUACUAAAAUUGGAAAGAUACAGAGAAGAUUAGCAUACUCUUUGCACAAGGAUUGCACACAAAUUUGUGACGCAUUCCACAUUUUC